GUGACUCCGGCGUUUGCUAAAAAUUGGCUGCAACCUGGGGGAAUCAGUAGUGACUGGUCAGUGAUUGCUGCCAACCCUUAUAUUCUAUGAUGGUCACAGUGUUGGAAAUUGCUUCGUUAAAGUUCUACAGCCAUAUAAUUUUGCCAUGUCUUGCUCUGGCACCUAUUAAUCAUACAUUGUUACAAAUUGUGAUUCUGCUUUUAUGAUUUCUCUUUAACUUCCAGCGUGGGGAAGGAAUUUUCCCCCACCAAUUUAAUUGAGAUGAGUGCACUUUACCUUUCUUUCACAGGUUAGGCAGACUCAACCAAUCCGCACAAGCAGUCCCAGAAGUCACCUACUACAAAACAAGACAGGCCCAAAGGACAUAAUCCCAUCAGCCAUGCCAUCAGGGGCUCAUUCACCAACACAUCUACCAAUGUGAUAUGUGCCAGCAUUGCCCCUCUGCCAGUAACAGAUUUUUUUAGAGUUGGUGUAU